rnacentral:rRNA from 1 species
CAAUAAGCGGAGGAAAAGAAACCAACAGGGAUUGCCCUAGUAACGGCGAGUGAAGCGGCAACAGCUCAAAUUUGAAAUCUGGCUCUCGGGCCCGAGUUGUAAUUUGUAGAGGAUACUUUUGAUGCGGUGCCUUCCGAGUUCCCUGGAACGGGACGCCAUAGAGGGUGAGAGCCCCGUCUGGUUGGAUGCCAAAUCUCUGUAAAGUUCCUUCAACGAGUCGAGUAGUUUGGGAAUGCUGCUCUAAAUGGGAGGUAUAUGUCUUCUAAAGCUAAAUACCGGCCAGAGACCGAUAGCGCACAAGUAGAGUGAUCGAAAGAUGAAAAGCACUUUGAAAAGAGAGUUAAAAAGUACGUGAAAUUGUUGAAAGGGAAGCGUUUAUGACCAGACUUGGGCUUGGUUAAUCAUCUGGGGUUCUCCCCAGUGCACUUUUCCAGCUCAGGCCAGCAUCAGUUUUCCCCGGGGGAUAAAGGCGGAGGGAAUGUGGCUCUCUUCGGGGAGUGUUAUAGCCCACCGUGUAAUACCCUGGGGGGGACUGAGGUUCGCGCAUCUGCAAGGAUGCUGGCGUAAUGGUCAUCAACGACCCGUCUUGAAACACGGACCAAGGAGUCGUCUUCGUAUGCGAGUGUUCGGGUGUCAAACCCCUACGCGUAAUUAAAGUGAACGCAGGUGAGAGCUUCGGCGCAUCAUCGACCGAUCCUGAUGUUCUCGGAUGGAUUUGAGUAAGAGCAUACGGGGCCGGACCCGAAAGAAGGUGAACUAUGCCUGUAUAGGGUGAAGCCAGAGGAAACUCUGGUGGAGGCUCGCAGCGGUUCUGACGUGCAAAUCGAUCGUCAAAUAUGGGCAUGGGGGCGAAAGACUAAUCGACCCUCUAGUAGCUGGUUCCG